rnacentral:rRNA from 1 species
CCUAACACAUGCAAGUCGAGCGGAAACGACACUAACAAUCCUUCGGGUGCGUUAAUGGGCGUCGAGCGGCGGACGGGUGAGUAAUGCCUAGGAAAUUGCCUUGAUGUGGGGGAUAACCAUUGGAAACGAUGGCUAAUACCGCAUAAUGCCUACGGGCCAAAGAGGGGGAUCUUCGGACCUCUCGCGUCAAGAUAUGCCUAGGUGGGAUUAGCUAGUUGGUGAGGUAAUGGCUCACCAAGGCGACGAUCCCUAGCUGGUCUGAGAGGAUGAUCAGCCACACUGGAACUGAGACACGGUCCAGACUCCUACGGGAGGCAGCAGUGGGGAAUAUUGCACAAUGGGCGAAAGCCUGAUGCAGCCAUGCCGCGUGUAUGAAGAAGGCCUUCGGGUUGUAAAGUACUUUCAGUUGUGAGGAAGGGGGUAACGUUAAUAGCGUUAUCUCUUGACGUUAGCAACAGAAGAAGCACCGGCUAACUCCGUGCCAGCAGCCGCGGUAAUAC